UAUUACCUUUAAAGCAAUAAAAUAAUCAUUAUUUAUACAAGUUAAUGGGGUAAUAAUACAAAAUGUACCAUAAUUGGCCACCAGUACGUUAUUUAUUAAAUAUACAGUAGAUAAUACUACAAAAAGUAUAUUUUGUUAUUACGAAGGUUAAUAAAACUGGAAAAAUUCUAAUUUACUGCUACAAAAUUAAAAAAAAGUGAAAUAAAUGUGUUCAGAAAUUAUUUUUAACAGUAACUACUAAAUAAUGCCACAUUACUCCAUCGAAAUGUCAAAAUCCAACAGAAAGGAAGGUAAUCUUAAUUAAUUCGUAUUAAUUACUAAGUAUUACCUUUAAAGCAAUAAAAUAAUCAUUAUUUAUACAAGUUAAUGGGGUAAUAAUGAAAAAUGUACCAUAAUUGGCAACCAGUACGUUAUUUAUUAAAUGUACAGUAGAUAUUACUACAAAAAGCAUAUUUUGUUAGUACGAAGGUUAAUAAAACUGAAAAAAUUCUAAUUUACUGUUACAAAAUUAAAAAGAAAGUGAAAUAAAUGUGUUCAGAAAUUAUUUUUAACAAUAACUACUAAAUAAUGUGACAUUACUCCAUCGAAAUGUCAAAAUCCAACAGAAAGGAAGGUAAUCUUAAUUAAUUCGUAUUAAUUACUAAGUAUUACCUUUAAAGCAAUAAAAUAAUCAUUAUUUAUACAAGUUAAUGGGGUAAUAAUGAAAAAUGUACCAUAAUUGGCAACCAGUACGUUAUUUAUUAAAUGUACAGUAGAUAUUACUACAAAAAGUAUAUUUUGUUAUUACGAAGGUUAAUAAAACUGGAAAAUUUCUAAUUUACUGUUACAAAAUUAAAAAGAAAGUGAAAUAAAUGUGUUCAGAAAUUAUUUUUAACAAUAACUACUAAAUAAUGUGACAUUACUCCAUCGAAAUGUCAAAAUCCAACAGAAAGGAAGGUAAUCUUAAUUAAUUCGUAUUAAUUACUAAGUAUUACCUUUAAAACAACAAAAUAAUCAUUAUUUAUACAAGUUAAUGUGUUAAUAAUAAAAAAUGUAUCAUAAUUGGCAA